ACGGGAGGCAGCAGUGGGGAAUAUUGGGCAAUGGGCGAAAGCCUGACCCAGCAACGCCGCGUGAAGGAAGAAGGCCUUCGGGUUGUAAACUUCUUUUACCAGGGACGAAGGACGUGACGGUACCUGGAGAAAAAGCAACGGCUAACUACGUGCCAGCAGCCGCGGUAAUACGUAGGUUGCAAGCGUUGUCCGGAUUUACUGGGUGUAAAGGGCGUGUAGGCGGAGCUGCAAGUCAGAUGUGAAAUCCCGGGGCUCAACCCCGGAACUGCAUUUGAAACUGUUUUUCUUGAGUGCUGGAGAGGUAGACGGAAUUCCUUGUGUAGCGGUGAAAUGCGUAGAUAUAAGGAAGAACACCAGUGGCGAAGGCGGUCUACUGGACAGUAACUGACGCUGAGGCGCGAAAGCGUGGGGAGCAAACAGGAUUAGAUACCCUGGUA
rnacentral:rRNA from 1 species